AUUUUCUCAUUUGAAAUUUCAUAAAUAAAAAGAAAAUUUCUUCAAACAUUUUUUUGAGAGGAAUAAUAUUCAACAGCAUAGUGAAUUGCUCUAAGAGAAAACAAAAAUUUUAAUUUCAUUAGAACACAUUCAUUCUGUGUCAGAAACCUAUGCUGUGUCAACUAUUUAAUCACAAUCCAAAUUUAGAGCUGAAUCCAGCUUGAAUGUUAUGUUCAUACUUGCCCCAACCGUUCAGGGUUCAACAUCUGCGGUCGUAUAAAGCUACGCCCUGC
rnacentral:lncRNA from 1 species